AUGUGCCAGAACAGCCGUGAUAACAUCGCCAGCAUCCAUCCAGAACGAGCUGAUGUGUCAAACAAGACGCGUGCGGGGUCUCCAAUCAACAGCCGCCAUCCCCACCCCCCCUCCUCUAGAAAAAAAAAAACAAAUCCCACAAAGAGAAGAUCCAAAGUUUGGGAAUUUAAAUCCACACUCCCACCUGUGCGCUGGCUGCAGAACGAGCCGCAACCAUCAUCCCAGAGGGAGCGGAUCGCCUUCUGUUGAGUCCGCCAUGUUUCUACAGUAGCCCAGAACGGACAAACCAAACAUUGACUCUGGACAGGGCCUUCUAUAGAUACUAGAUACCACUAAACCCCCACACACUGGUCCUUUUAAAUUAAAUAAAAUCACAUGAAUACACACUGGAUAUACAAUAAGUACAGGACUUAAAAGCGACCUACGAUGAUGUUACAAUGUCGGAUGUUGAUAGUAAACGAGGCCAAACUGUCAAAUAAUGAAACAUGUAAAACUAUUGCCUGUGACUUCUCUGAAUGCAACGUUUUCUGAAAGCUUUUUUUUUUUGUAAAUGAAUAAAAGACAGAAUAAAAGGAUGAUCCUAUAACAUAUUUGUUCAAUCUGAUCUAGAAACAUCUCACUUUGGUAAUAAUACGAAAGCCUGAGCAUGGUGAGGCCCCGAUCUACGUCCGUUAGUGGGAUGUAAAACAGGAUGUGUGAGUCCCAGGUGCUCCAUUGGCUUCAGCUGAAGAGGCGCGUCCCGCCUCUCUGAUGAGCUAAAGACCCUGAUUGGAGCGGCACCCAGUCUGGCUCUCCAAUCCAGGUUGGAUUGGAUAAUAACAGUAAAUUGAAUAAUUUAAAUUCUAUGUAAUUUACAAAACGUUGAAAAGAAUUUAAGACCAUGUUUAAACAACAUGUAACUGAGAAAUAAAACUGCCUCCUUUGAGCUGGAUUUAGGUCUUUCCGUGUGUGUGUGUGUGUGUGUGUGUGUGUGUGUGUGAUGGUUGUUUUCCUUCUCGAUUCUAUUUUUAUGUCUAUUUAAACUGUAAGUGGUGUGCUGUCUUGACCAAGUCUCCCUCAGAA
rnacentral:lncRNA from 15 species